AGGACUUAGCACGAGAGCCACCGGGCUCUGGGCUGCGGAGGAGGUUGGAGGUGACCUUCCAGAAGGAACGUGGGACAAGGGAGCAAGUGAGGACCUGGUGGGUAGUGGUUACUCUGUGAGAAGCCAGCAGCACCAACCAAAUAGAAGGUGGAGAAGUGGCCCCCAGCUUCCCAGUUUGGGUUUGGGCCAAGACAACUAAGAAAAGGGUCCACCGUCUUCACUCCAGGUCAGCACAAGAAAGCUGCCAUGAUGGCUCCUGUGGAGAGACUCCCAUGCCUGCAGGUGGAAACCGAGGGGAUGAAGAUGAGAAGACCUCUACCCGGCACUGGUUUGGAAAACAGAGGACUGUCCCCUGAGCCUGCCAGCGAGUCACAUGUUUGGGUCCCUCAGCAGCCAGAGAAACGAUGAUACAGGACACUGGGGCAGGACAAAGGAGUGUGGCAGUAUUGUGGCCUCCAUGCAGAUGGUAGUGUGUGGCUCCAUUGUCUCUGCUGUGUGGAUGAGGAGCCUUAGCUCUGAGAAGAAGAGCCUUUCACAUCCUCACAACUUGUCCCAAUAGCACUGAACUCUUUUGAUCUGGAGAGAUCUGGAGGAGGGUCUUCAAGUGGGUUCUGACUCAUCCUCUACCAUACAGACAUAAGGCAGGCAGAAGGAGAGAUCAGAUGACCCUGCAUUGUAUCAAGUAGAAAAAUGUCUAACCAAGACAGAGGAGAAUACGAACCCUCUCAGCUCAUAGACAGGUGAUGAUGUGGUUUCCAACUGACUUUCAAGCAAACAGAUUUCCAAGCGUGCUUGAAGAGGGCAGUAAAUGAGAAGGCACAAGAUGCAAGAAGAGAGAGGGGUUUGCUGGAAAUCGUGGCUGACCACCUCAGAAGGACCCAGAAGACCCGAACUUUCUGGUUUUGCCUUUCACCUUGCUCUGAAACUUCUCCCAACACUGGAAGACAAGAAAGUUCCGCCCUACCUCCGCCCCACCUCCGCCCCCCGGACCAGGGAGAUUCUUCUCUUUGGGCAAGCAGGCUUGCUGGGCAAUCGUGAGCUGCUGAGUUCCCAUCCCCAUAGAAAGCUGGACAUGGACAUGCAUGCCUGUUUCUGCAGCAUGCUCAACUCCAGGAGCUCUCUGGUCUCCUAUAAAUAAAGGAUAACACAUUC
rnacentral:lncRNA from 1 species